rnacentral:miRNA from 1 species
UUCUGUUCAGUGUUAGUCUGAGA